rnacentral:sRNA from 1 species
GGGUUGGUCCUGUCCUGGGGCUUGCACAGUAAUGACAGCCCAGGGGGACUGGGGCAUUAGAGUAGCUUUCUCUCAAAGAGAAGUAACUGGGUGGCCCCAGUUUCCCCAGAUGCUCCUGGGGGUUGGGGGUAGGACUGUCUCAAGCUGAUAUUGACUAUGCCACCUUCACUGUUAUGGAUUUGAUUCCUCACAGAACAAGGUCAGCAAAGACCCUUCUUCCUAUGUCAAACUAUCUGUAGGCAAGAAGACACAUACAAGUAAGACCUGUCCCCACAACAAGGACCCUGUGUGGAGCCAGGUGUUCUCCUUCUUUGCGCACAAUGUGGCCACUGAGCGGCUCUAUCUAAAGGUUUGAUGGAAGAAGGGCUCUUGAAACAGAGUUAAGAGGUUUCUAAGCCAGGCGGGCUGGGAAACUUGAAGUGCACCUUGAGCAGGUUCUCCUGGCAGUGUUUAAAGUCAGCC